rnacentral:sRNA from 1 species
CAUUAUCAUUAGGUUUGUUUUGUGUUUGUAGAUGAGUGUGGAUAUGAAUUGGGUUGGAUGCUAUGAUUGUAAAAGUAAUUCCUCGUACUGAAUGCUCAUAAGGCAUGAUAGACUUACAUUACUACCCAUAGAAUAUGAGCAUCACCCUUUUCUUCUGAUCAAAU